GACGAACGCUGGCGGCGUGCUUAACACAUGCAAGUCGAACGAUGAAACCUAGCUUGCUAGGUCGAUUAGUGGCGAACGGGUGAGUAACACGUGACUAACCUGCCCCUUUCUCUGGGAUAACGCUCCGAAAGGAGUGCUAAUACCGGAUACUCACACCGAGGCACAUGCCUUGGUGUGGAAAGGUUUUCGGAAAGGGAUGGUCUCGCGGCCUAUCAGCUAGUUGGUGAGGUAAUGGCUCACCAAGGCGACGACGGGUAGCCGGCCUGAGAGGGCGACCGGCCACACUGGGACUGAGACACGGCCCAGACUCCUACGGGAGGCAGCAGUGGGGAAUAUUGGGCAAUGGGCGCAAGCCUGACCCAGCGACGCCGCGUGAGGGAUGAAGGCCUUCGGGUUGUAAACCUCUUUCAGUAGGGAAGAAGCGAAAGUGACGGUACCUAAAGAAGAAGCACCGGCUAACUAUGUGCCAGCAGCCGCAGUAA
rnacentral:rRNA from 1 species